UGCAGAACACGAUGGUGAACCUGGGC
rnacentral:piRNA from 2 species